rnacentral:rRNA from 1 species
UACGUAGGGGGCAAGCGUUGUCCGGAUUUAUUGGGCGUAAAGAGCGUGUAGGCGGUUUGGUAGGUCCGCUGUGAAAACUCGAGGCUCAACCUCGAGACGCCGGUGGAAACCAUCAGGCUAGAGUCCGGAAGAGGAGAGUGGAAUUCCUGGUGUAGCGGUGAAUGCGCAGAUAUCAGGAAGAACACCCGUGGCUAAGGCGGCUCUCUAGUACAGGUACUGACGCUGAGACGCGAAAGCGUGGGGAGCGAACAGG